UACUCCAAUUGGCAGUCUCAUUUCCAUCAC
rnacentral:piRNA from 1 species